UAAUCUCUGUUUUCUCUUUCAGAAUAAUAGGUUAUUCCCCUGUCCUGAGUUCUGCUUGAAAAACUGAGAGUUCUAGAACUUUGCAAAAGCUCCUCUAUUGUUCCAAGAUGAGCAUUUUUCUGGGGUGAACUGGGCAGAGGUUUGACUGGCAAGCAGCUCUGGGUGUACAUUUCAUCCAAGAGUCUCAUGGUGGUCGAAGGAGAUCCCCAGAUGCAAAAUCAAAGUUGCUUGGAUUUCCAUUUCUUCCCCAUCUAGGAAAAGGGCAAUGGAAUCAAAGCCUUUAAAAAAUGUAGUAAGAGAAAGACUCUCUAAUUGAUCAGAACCUUCUGGCAACCAGCACUUUGGCCCAUCUACUGAAAAAUACUUUAUCAGUGUCUUUAGUAAAGGCCCCCAAGAUGCACAAUACAUUUUUGGUUGUUGAAAUAGAGUGUCUUCUAAGUCAUCAAGUAAAAGAGAAAUUCUGCUCAGAAGACUUUUGGAUAGUACCCAACAUUUGGUGAGGCUUACUAUAUUACAUGCAUUACCUCGCUAAAUCACCACAUUAGAACACUUACAGGUUAUGACAAAACAAGAAGGCCCUAGAAGACAUGCUGUAAAAAAUAAGGCAAGGCUAUGUCUGAUGGAUUUCUAGACUGCACAGUCCAGUAGAUUACAUGAGAGGAUCAAUAAU
rnacentral:lncRNA from 1 species